UCCGUAGGCGGGCGAUUAAGUCAGAGGUGAAAUCCCACAGCUCAACUGUGGAACUGCCUUUGAUACUGGUUGUCUUGAGUUACAGUGAAGUAGAUAGAAUAUGUAGUGUAGCGGUGAAAUGCAUAGAUAUUACAUAGAAUACCGAUUGCGAAGGCAGUCUACUAACUGUUGACUGACGCUAAGGGACGAAAGCGUGGGGAGCGAACA
rnacentral:rRNA from 1 species